ensembl:snRNA U6 U6 spliceosomal RNA
GUGCUCGCUUUGGCACCACAUAUACUAACAUUAGAAUGAAACAGAGAAGAUCAAAUGGCCCCCGUGCAAGGAUGACAUGCAAAUUCAUGAAGCAUUCCAUAUUUUU